rnacentral:rRNA from 1 species
GAGGCAGCAGUGGGGAAUAUUGGGCAAUGGGGGAAACCCUGACCCAGCAACGCCGCGUGAGGGAAGAAGGUUUUCGGAUUGUAAACCUCUGUCCUAAGAGAAGAGGGAGACGGUAUCUUAGGAGGAAGCCCCGGCUAACUACGUGCCAGCAGCCGCGGUAAUACGUAGGGGGCGAGCGUGUCCGGAAUGAUUGGGCGUAAAGGGGUGUAGGCGGCUUUAUAAGUCUGGAGUGAAAGUCCUGUUUUCAAGAUGGGAAUUGCUUUGGAUACUGUAGGGCUUGAGUGCAGGAGAGGUUAUCGGAAUUCCCGGUGUAGCGGUGAAAUGCGUAGAGAUCGGGAGGAACACCAGUGGCGAAGGCGGGUAACUGGACUGCAACUGACGCUGAGGCGCGAAAGUGUGGGGAGCAAACAGGAUUAGAUACCCUGGUAGUCCACACUGUAAACGAUG